rnacentral:rRNA from 1 species
UACGUAGGGGGCUAGCGUUGUCCGGAUUUAUUGGGCGUAAAGAGCGUGUAGGCGGCCGGGUAAGUCAGGUGUGAAACCUCCAGCUUAACCUGGAGACGCCACUUGAUACUUCUAUGGCUUGAGUUCGGUAGGGGACCAUGGAAUUCCUGGUGUAGCGGUGAAAUGCGCAGAUAUCAGGAGGAACACCGAUGGCGAAGGCAGUGGUCUGGGCCGAUACUGACGCUGAGGAGCGAAAGCGUGGGGAGCGAACAGG